ACGCCUCUAAGAUCACCUCUAAAAAAUCCAAGAUCUGGUACCCAACCAGAUCAGGCCUGGACCGAGGUCUUUCAAUUCAUAGAUCUUGAAUCGGGGUAUUCUAGAUAGGGAAGAAGGUAGAUAGAACCAAACCUUGCAGAUCUGUCCUGCUGCAGCCUUUCCUGUAGAUCUGUUGAUGGAGAUCUCACCCGCACCUCAAACGACCUCAGAUCAACUCCAGAUCUGAGAGGAACUUGUACCAACCUCGUAGCAAG
rnacentral:lncRNA from 1 species